AACAGUGUGGAAAUGUUCUCCUCUCCCUUGAACUGAAAGGAAAAGGAGGAGAGGAAAGAAGGAGCACAAGUUCAUACUAAACACUUGGCAAAAAAAGCCAAGAAAGCCUGGAUCCCACCACAGCCAGAAGCAUCUGGGAACUGCAGGUCUUUGUGGGAAUCCUGAAAGCUGAUUGGCUCCACCUGGCUAAUAGACAACUGCUUUCCAUGCUGAACCCUUGUGUAUCCUCAUCUCCUAAGAGGAGGAAGUGCCCAUUGAGGACACAUAACCCAUGGGAACAUCUUUUGUUUGUUUCAUUUAAUUCCGAACCUCAACAAAUGAGGAGUUGGACUCUGGUACUUUUCCUUUUUAGUUUCCCUAGAGUUGAUAUCAGAAUUGGGAGAGGUGGUCCUCUCCCAAGCCAUCCACCUCCUCCCUGAGGACUCUGAGUAGGGCCCCAUGUCAGCCUGUGUCAUAAGCCAGGCACACAGGUUGUACAGACCAGGCCUUCUCGGUCUGAGUUGAAUGGGGAACAUGUAUGGGUGUUUGACUCUGGAUUUCACUCAGCCAUCUACCAGUUUACAGCAAUUAAAAAGAAAACAGACUCAAUAAUACUGUUUACAGUAAGCAAUACUUGAAGAGUAUAGGUUUAAGAAACAGCAGUAUUUAUUAUUAUACUUCCUUUUCUCUUGUGCCUGGAGAGGGGAGGCCAGCCUUCACUCAUAUCUAGAAGCUCCUGACCAUCUGGGAACAGUGAAUUUGCCUCAGUAGAAAUGACUUGUUUCCCAUCAUCUCUGUCAUCUCUGCCUGUCAUGGACCCAUGGAUGUGAAAGUGGAUUGCUUCUCAAGAGGGUACCCAUCAGUCCCUCUGUCUCCUGAUACCGAAUGCCAUAGAUGGCCAGAUUUCCUGAGUAUAUCUUCCAAGCAGAGGCCAAGGCUACAUUCUUGAGUCCAGAGGCAAGCUCUGUGGUAGCAGGACAAGAAAUUCAACUGUUCUGUUAAAGGCUUCCUGAGCAGCUACUACAGCUCAGGCUGAUGUCCAGAGUGCCAUUUCAUCAAGAAAUAAACUACAAAAUGUUUGACAUCUCUUCCAAUAGCACCCAAGCCUUCCUCAGUGUGCCUACCUGGUAUGUCCCAGCAGCCAGUUAUGGUACCCACUCACUGCUUCUGGCAUGCUUCACUGAAGAUGUUUGAAGAGAAUGGAGAGAAAUAUGGGGAGAGAGCACAUCAAAGAGUGUAGAUGAAGGGAUCAGAGCCAACCAUGAAAGGUAUUCUAGCCACUUUACUAAAGAUUCCAUGAGUUGGACAACUUGGGCUGACAAAAGAAGUGGUCAAGGGAUAUGGUUAAGGAAGAAUUAAGAAGAAAAAUUCAGCUGGUGACAGGCCAGGCCAGGCGGGUGAGUGAUUGCAGAGUCUUGUUUUCGUUCUAGCUUUCUAUCUAUCCUUCCACUAGCUCUUUGUUUUGGUUCAUGAGUAACUGAGACAGUUUACUCCCUAGGGAAUGGAGAGGAGAGGAAGUUGGUUUGUCACCCUUCUUGCUAUUAUUCCACUUAAGGAUAUUUUGUCCUUUUGUUUAAAAAGGAAAAAAAGUAAUAAAGCUGCAACUCUUCCCCACAAGAAGCCAUUUAUCAUUGGGGAGGCAUGAAAUCUCUCUCAAGCCUACCCAGCUUUACUUUAUUUUGUUGAUCUACACAAGACAGAAUUCUAGAGGUCUGUAUAGCAAUGUCCUUCAGUUGGACCUGGCACCACCUCCUGCCUUCUGUGUGGGGCAGGCACUUCUGUGUCUGAUGUUCUACCUCUUUCUGUGGUUUGACUAUCAAAACCACUUCAGAAGCCCCCUCUCUUUACAGAGUGGAGUCACACAUUGUGUCAUCACAGAAGGAGGAACUGUGUCCUGCAUUCAUUCAUUUGGAGAAGGUCCAUAAGUAGUGAUCAUCUACCAGGUUCUUAGAGGUUCUUGAAAAGAGGGCGAAUAAAAUCAAGAAGGUCCUUCUUCCAGCAAAUGCAUUUUCUACAAGCUGCUAGCCCUGCCACCAAUACAGCAGGAUUGUUCUUCACACCUUCCCCAGAGGAAAGCACCAGGUGCAUAGGGAAUGAGGUGCCAUAAAGGAAGAAAGCUGAUUCACACAGACACCUUACCUCAUCCUGGAAGCAGGCCACCAGCAAUGAGAUCUGAUCUCAAUACUACUGCCACCAGCUAUUUAGUCUGCACAGCUUUGUUGCUCAUGUUCCUUUCCUUCUUUCAGUUCUACCAAAAUGAGGAUAAAAAUCAGCAGUUAAGGCCCCCAGCCCUGCUAAUCGUGAGAUAGAAGCAAUGGUGGCUGUGCAAGUGGUCUGACACAAACACAGAAGGCUGGAAAUUCCUAGCCACCCAGUUCCAGGUACUGAACAGCUACUGCAUCUAUAAUCUCACAUGAUGCCUGGUAAUAAGCAAGGGUUCCAACCACCUUGUGUCCUGGCUAAGAGUCCUGCAACCUGGACACAGACAGGGAAGAAUCCAAACACAGCAGGCUAUGAGGGUGAAGAAAUGAAAAGUGGCUUCAGGUACCCAGGACAUAGGGAAGGUCUUAUGAUGGAAGGGGGCCCAGGAGUAGAUAGAUGUUUAGGUCCUCUUGAUGCCUUGUCUCCAGAAUGUUCUUGAAUAAGACUGUGGCAUCAUGUUUAUAACUCCACAUCUCUUUUUAUUUUAUCUUUUCUGCUCAUUCCCUACAGUGAAGAUUUAGUGUCUGAAGCCCAGUGAUGCUUAUAAUGAAGGGUAAAGUUUCUUUUGGCACUUUCUAACUAGUCCAGGGAAUGUCCUAAGAGAUGAUCAAAGCCAGUGCCUAUCAGACAGGCCUCAACACAAUAAGCAAACUAGAGAUUCUCCUGCCUUUCACAGAUUCACAACUCACUCUCCUCCUCCAUACCAUUUCCCCAGACUGAGCCGACUCCUCCCUGCUUCUGUGCUGCCUGUACCAUAGGGCCCCAAUGAAGGAAGUAAGAAGCUUCUUUUGGAACUCAGUCACUGUUAUCACUUUGACAUUCUUUGUCUACAUUUUGGCAUUCAGGCAUAAGGAAGUGUGGUCCCCACCAAACAGGACCAAAGUCCCUGAAUGUAUGGGAGAGAAAAGGACAAGAUAUUUAUACAGGCACAUAAGGGCCUUGAGCCUAGCUGCCUCUCCUCAUCCCCGCCUACUCAAACCCCUCCCCAUGACACACUGGAAUCUGUAUUAUAUCUAUUUUUAAGAAAGUAAAAUGCUGGUUGUCUGGUUUUGUUGUUUUUACAGGUGUUAAGAAAUAAUAAUAAAACGAAGUAUUUAAAAUGUCCCAAUAAAGUGGGGUUUUGUUAUCUAAUAUAUUAUCAUGUACAUAUUGUAAAUAUGAAACUCCUAUUUUGCAAGCCAAGGACACAAUUUGUACUGUUGUUAUAUAUAAAUAAAGAUUACUGGAUAUAAAAAUA